GGUCCUUCCUAUGGGCUAAAUAGUUUGUGUCACCCCUCCUUAUUUUGGCUCCCCUACUUGUAUAGGCCUUGGCCGAGUACUUCUGUUGUAGUGUCUUAGUCCUUGCAGAUAUCAUGCUGAUUGAAGGGUGGCACUGAUUCUAACUUCUUCUGUAGCUCAAGUCUUUGGGUUUGCUCCACCUCCCCCUCAUUGAGUUGUUCUAUCUUUGGUGAUGUCUAGAUUAGAUCUGCUGGUAGUAUUGCCUCUAAUCUGUAUACCAGGAAGAAUGGUGCAUACCCGGUUGU
rnacentral:lncRNA from 1 species